rnacentral:rRNA from 1 species
UACGUAGGGGGCAAGCGUUGUCCGGAAUCAUUGGGCGUAAAGAGCGUGUAGGCGGUUUGUCGCGUCGCUGUGAAAGCCCGGAGCUCAACUCCGGGUCUGCAGUCGAUACGGGCAGACUUGAGUGUUGCAGGGGAGACUGGAAUUCCUGGUGUAGCGGUGAAAUGCGCAGAUAUCAGGAGGAACACCGGUGGCGAAGGCGGGUCUCUGGGCCGAUACUGACACUGAGGAGCGAAAGCGUGGGGAGCGAACAGG